AAUGUUAGUACACUGUCUCAUAGA
rnacentral:siRNA from 1 species